AAUGAACGCUGGCGGCAUGCCUAACACAUGCAAGUCGAACGAGACCUUCGGGUCUAGUGGCGCACGGGUGCGUAACGCGUGGGAAUCUGCCCUUGGGUUCGGAAUAACUCGCCGAAAGGCGUGCUAAUACCGGAUGAUGACGUAAGUCCAAAGAUUUAUCGCCCAAGGAUGAGCCCGCGUAGGAUUAGCUAGUUGGUGGGGUAAAGGCCCACCAAGGCGACGAUCCUUAGCUGGUCUGAGAGGAUGAUCAGCCACACUGGGACUGAGACACGGCCCAGACUCCUACGGGAGGCAGCAGUGGGGAAUAUUGGACAAUGGGCGAAAGCCUGAUCCAGCAAUGCCGCGUGAGUGAUGAAGGCUUUAGGGUUGUAAAGCUCUUUUACCCGGGAUGAUAAUGACAGUACCGGGAGAAUGAGCCCCGGCUAACUCCGUGCCAGCCGCCGCGGUAA
rnacentral:rRNA from 1 species